rnacentral:rRNA from 1 species
GAUGAACGCUGGCGGCGUGCCUAAUACAUGCAAGUCGAGCGAACGGACGAGAAGCUUGCUUCUCUGAUGUUAGCGGCGGACGGGUGAGUAACACGUGGAUAACCUACCUAUAAGACUGGGAUAACUUCGGGAAACCGGAGCUAAUACCGGAUGAUAUUUUGAACCGCAUGGUUCAAAAGUGAAAGACGGUCUUGCUGUCACUUAUAGAUGGAUCCGCGCUGCAUUAGCUAGUUGGUAAGGUAACGGCUUACCAAGGCAACGAUGCAUAGCCGACCCGAGAGGGUGAUCGGCCACACUGGAACUGAGACACGGCCCAGACUCCUACGGGAGGCAGCAGUAGGGAAUCUUCCGCAAUGGGCGAAAGCCUGACGGAGCAACGCCGCGUGAGCGAUGAAGGUCUUCGGAUCGUAAAACUCUGUUAUUAGGGAAGAACAUAUGUGUAAGUAACUGUGCACAUCUUGACGGUACCUAAUCAGAAAGCCACGGCUAACUACGUG